rnacentral:rRNA from 1 species
CAAGUCGAGCGAACAGACAAGGAGCUUGCUCCUUUGACGUUAGCGGCGGACGGGUGAGUAACACGUGGGUAACCUACCUAUAAGACUGGGAUAACUCUCGGGAAACCGGAGCUAAUACCGGAUAAUAUUUCGAACCGCAGUGGUUCGAUAGUGAAAGAUGGUUUUGCUAUCACUUAUAGAUGGACCCGCGCCGUAUUAGCUAGUUGGUAAGGUAACGGCUUACCAAGGCGACGAUACGUAGCCGACCUGAGAGGGUGAUCUGGCCACACUGGAACUGAGACACGGUCCAGACUCCUACGGGAGGCAGCAGUAGGGAAUCUUCCGCAAUGGGCGAAAGCCUGACGGAGCAACGCCGCGUGAGUGAUGAAGGUCUUCGGAUCGUAAAACUCUGUUAUUAGGGAAGAACAUACGUGUAAGUAACUAUGCACGUCUUGACGGUACCUAAUCAGAAAGCCACGGCUAACUACGUGCCAGCAGCCGCGGUAAUACGUAGGUGGCAAGCGUUAUCCGGAAUUAUUGGGCGUAAAGCGCGCGUAGGCGGUUUUUUAAGUCUGAUGUGAAAGCCCACGGCUCAACCGUGGAGGGUCAUUGGAAACUGGAAAACUUGAGUGCAGAAGAGGAAAGUGGAAUUCCAUGUGUAGCGGUGAAAUGCGCAGAGAUAUGGAGGAACACCAGUGGCGAAGGCGACUUUCUGGUCUGUAACUGACGCUGAUGUGCGAAAGCGUGGGGAUCAAACAGGAUUAGAUACCCUGGUAGUCCACGCCGUAAACGAUGAGUGCUAAGUGUUAGGGGGGUUUCCGCCCCUUAGUGCUGCAGCUAACGCAUUAAGCACUCCGCCUGGGGAGUACGACCGCAGGGUUGAAACUCAAGGAAUUGACGGGGACCCGCACAAGCGGUGGAGCAUGUGGUUUAAUUCGAAGCAACGCGAAGAACCCUUACCAAAUC